GGGGGGGGGGGGGGGGGGGGCGGGGGCGGGGGGGGGGGGGGGGGGGGGGGGGGGGGGGCGGGGCGGGGGGGGGCGGCGGGCGGGGGAGUAACACGUGGAUCACCUACCUAUAAGACUGGGAUAACUGCGGGAAACCGUAGCUCAGACCGGAUAAUAUUUUGAACCGCAUGGUUCAAAAGUGAACGACGGUCUUGCUGUCACUUAUAGAUGGAUCCGCGCUGCAUUAGCUAGUUGGUCAGGUAACGGCUUACCAAGGCAACGAUGCAUAGCCGACCUGAGAGGGGGAUCGGCCACACUGGAACUGAGACACGGUCCAGACUCCUACGGGAGGCAGCAGUAGGGAAUCUUCCGCAAUGGGCGAAAGCCUGACGGAGCAACGCCGCGUGAGUGAUGAAGGUCUUCGGAUCGUAAAACUCUGUUAUUAGGGAAGAACAUAUGUGUAAGUAACUGUGCACAUCUUGACGGUACCUAAUCAGAAAGCCACGGCUAACUACGUG
rnacentral:rRNA from 1 species